AGUGAACGCUGGCGGUAGGCCUAACACAUGCAAGUCGAACGGCAGCACAGUAAGAGCUUGCUCUUACGGGUGGCGAGUGGCGGACGGGUGAGGAAUACAUCGGAAUCUACUUUUUCGUGGGGGAUAACGUAGGGAAAGUUACGCUAAUACCGCAUACGACCUACGGGUGAAAGCAGGGGAGCUUCGGACCUUGCGCGAUUGAAUGAGCCGAUGUCGGAUUAGCUAGUUGGCGGGGUAAAGGCCCACCAAGGCGACGAUCCGUAGCUGGUCUGAGAGGAUGAUCAGCCACACUGGAACUGAGACACGGUCCAGACUCCUACGGGAGGCAGCAGUGGGGAAUAUUGGACAAUGGGCGCAAGCCUGAUCCAGCCAUACCGCGUGGGUGAAGAAGGCCUUCGGGUUGUAAAGCCCUUUUGUUGGGAAAGAAAAGCAGCAGGUUAAUACCCCGCUGUUCUGACGGUACCCAAAGAAUAAGCACCGGCUAACUUCGUG
rnacentral:rRNA from 1 species